CCUUCGCUGCUUCGGCCGCCUUUGCAACAGGAGCGCUGUUCAAACGAGAGCAUCCAUUGGCGAGCCUCACUUCGUAUAGCAUUAGUUUCUUGCUAUCGCAUUCAUUGCUUCGCCCUUGCGGCGAAACUGUGACUUUUUUUGCAACGACAACGGAUGGCACCCUCCUGUUUUUUACUGAGGGAAUUACACAUUCAGUCUCGUAUUGUGAUUAAUACCCUGGAACGAAAAAAAUGAAUGUGUAUGGCAUUUAUACAUUGUAAUAAAUGGACCAUACAAUGCCACCUCUGUCCAAAAUUUGGUUAGACAAAUUGAGUCCGUGUCUGUGUGACAGUUAGCAUACUGUCGUGCCUAGGUAUUUGUAUCCAUCCCACCGCUGCAACCAGUUGUUGCGACCGUGAUUUGGAUCCGUCUUGUCUCCGGGUGUGCUGCACCUGUACCGGACUAACAACAAAACUGGUGCUUCUAGCUGAGCCUACGAGGCACUUGAGAUUGUUGUUUUUUUCUCAUGCCUCGGACAUAUGUUUGGAACCCAGUGUUCUGCGAAUGCGCUAUGACGCUUAAUGGUCUCAAAUGGUAGCAUUUUACGGGCGUACCUGAUCGCAUAGCGCUUGGCUAGUCGACUUCAGUGAUGCAGUGAUGCAAGUUGGCAAGUGCAAAUUAAGAUUGACAUUAGCAGAGGAACCGGCUGUGGUGUUUCAGUCGAUAUAGCAUUUUGCUGCUGCGUGCAAGGUCAGAGGUUUGACUGCCGGCCAUGGUAGCCACAUUUUCCUGGUGUGCUCAGCAAAAACACUCGUAUACCAUAGUUUGAGUGCAUUUUCGUAGAUGCUUAAAGGAGUCGAAAUUGGCCUACAGCCUUGCAGUACAGCUUCUGUCAAGGUCCUUGUAUUGAUUCUUAACAUCCUGAAAUUGAAAUUGUGGCCCAUACACAAGUGUAUGUGGUAAUUUCAAAUGUGCACACUUCUCUGUCCAUCUGGCCAAAUUUUCUGGUUUAGUUGAAUGUUGCCCUUUAAAAGGGCAGUGACCUAAUCCUGCAGCUAUGCUACGCAUUGUCUGUUUGACUGAAUUUUGACAUUUGUGGAACAAUCUUCACAAGUAUGUGGGUAUAGUAGACAGUCUGAAAAAGAAAGCUAGAAAGUGAAGGGAAUUGUGGGGGGUAAGGAAUCAGCUUUAUUGACAGCGUUCACUGUGAAAAGCUUCAGAGAAAAGGUGUCUACGAUACUGAACGCUUCAGUUGAACUUGUGGACCCAAUGGAAAUACAAAAAAAAUUCUGAUUUCACAUCUUGCACUGGCUAAAAGAGGUUGUUUGUACUGCUCACAAACCGACUCUCGGAGCACUGGGUUUGACGUCCAGAACAUUUGCCCACGUAUGGCCAUGCCUGCACAUGAGCAUGCACAUUUUUCCUGCUUCCGGAAAGAAAUGUGGACUUAGGAGCAUGUGUUGCAUGAUUUCGUAGUUGCUGUUGUAGAAGGUUCUGUCAAUUUGUCGUGUUUGUGUAAGCGUCUGGUUGGCGACGCGGUCGUGUUGGGGCUGACAGGUUUCUUGGGUAUAAGUCACAGUGUUUCCAUAUUGUUUUUGAAAGAUUCUGCUACAUUUAAAUAUCUUGUUACUCUGCUUGUCAUCAUGCUGGGAAACUUUUAGAGAGAUGAGGACAGUAAUAAAUAGGGACAUAUAAGCUUAUGUAAGUUAAUAAUAGCAACAUUGUAAGUACAUUCAUGUUACGUCUGAGAAAGGUGCUACGUUUGUUUCGUGUGUCCGCAGAGUGCAUAGAAAGAGCUUAUGUGAACAGGCACUUGGCAAUGUCUGUACUGUCGGUGAACGGCACAUCAUGGAUCAUUGUCGCCGUGGUUUCCUGUGAAAAUACGACAUUAAGCGAAUAAGUGUAAUGUUCUGUAAGUUCACAGGAAGAUUUCACUCGGUGUCUGGUACAAAAGUAACUGCUGGAUGAAAAUCCACUAAAUAUGGCAACACGUAAAUUUUGCUCGAAAAGCGGUGUCACAACUUAACGAUGCAGUUGCAGAUGUACCACUGUCCAGUUCAGAGAAUUCGUUGAGCUGGCCAAUGCUGUUCGCUCAUUUGUGUGACGAUUGGCGUCAAGGUGUAGGUAAACUUGUUUUCAGUAUCGGUGUUGCUCGGAGGGCUAACAUUUGUCAUAGCUUGGACAUGCAGGGAGCAAAGUGCAGUGCAGCUUUGUUCUUGGAGCCCAUACUGAAUUGUUAGGUCCUUUACGUGUCACUUUCGCUAAAUUUCAUUCCUUUUUUGUUUACGUCCGGUCAACCCCAGUGAUAACUGUUGGCGGAGCACCACAUCCAUAGUAGAAGGACAGUAAAUUGGGAGAGAGCAUUGAAACGGCCCUCGCAAGACAACCAUUCAUGAAGCCAUCCCUGUCACCUUUUCUCUCAAAAGGUUAACCCAACAUCCAACCUAACUCAGCAGGCUCGACCCAAGCCGCACACCACCUCAAGCUGGGAGGAUGGCAUCCUGCCCUUCUGUCAUUGGCCUUUUUCCCCUCUCUCACCGGAAGCAGCCAGUGAGAGAUGGGCGGAAAGCCAUCCACCAUGUGUGGUGCGGCCAUGUGGCUUGAGGAUAAACAGGUUCUUAGUUCCUUCCUUCUUCUGUGGCCGCUUCGUCCGGUGAAUACAGUGGAAAAGGGAUAACAUUGGCGGCUCUUCUCGUGGCUUGACACUUUGCGGCGCAUUGAUUCGCUAAAUUUCUCCACAUUUGUUUCACGUGGUGCUGAAGGGACGAAGUGCGAGAUUUCUGCGAUGACCAUUGCGUGAAUUUGUUUUAAGGAGACGAGGCAAGAAAAGAGUUACGGCAUUUAAGCUGGCAUGUGUGGUACUUGUCGUCACUUUGGCGUGUUUUACUCCUCACUACAUCCACUUUUACGAAGUCUCUCUGCUUUUUUCUUUUUUCUGUUUGGCAUCUCCAGCCUUUGUACAUUAUUCUGUUUUUCUUUUUUUUUUCGGUUGAGAUGAUUUUAGCAUGGCAUUUUAGUUAGCAGUCGUCGAACUGGUUCAAGUCAGCAGUCAAUGGAUUGUACUGGACAAGGGGGCGCUUGCACAACGUUUUUAUAUAGUGCCUGCAAUAAUUUUGUAUAUGUAAAUGCUAGGCUGAUAUGUAUGUAAGAAAAAAACUUUUUGUUUUGUUUCGCUGUUGUAGUACAGCUUUUAAUAGUGUGGUCUUAACGAAGUUACAUUUUUUUAAAGCACUGUGUAGUAUUGUUGCCGUUAUCAUUGCUGCCAUGGCAGUACUGGUGGUGCAACUAUACUCGCAAGAAUGUUGAUAUUGUUCGCACUUCUUUUUUUAUUCUUGCACGCUUUCGGCACUGUGAGUGAUCUUGUGUAUACUAUCGUUGGCAGGAGGAUAUGCAGUUUCUUGUGAAAUAAAAAUGAGAUCGAAGGGGGUGGCGAGAUUGAUGGCCGUACCAUCCGCGGCUGUUAACGAUUCCCUGGGAGUCUUGCCCAUAGCAUAAACUGUGCCGCUCGGCGAGAGAACUUGUACAGUUGAGAAAAAAGUAUAUAUAUUUGUGACACUGGUAUAAAAAUUCAUGUUGUGAAGCUGUAUGUGCCGUUCCAGUGUUUAACCCUUGACGAGCAAUGCCCUUUUGCAGAAUGUUGCCUGCUUUCUGUUGCUGUUGUUGUUUUCAGUGGAGGCAUUCACGUUUUUCGUGUGUUUCAGCGGCACUGAUUUGAAAGUACCGUCAGUGCUGAUGCUUAGAAUGGAGGCUGGGCCCAUGUUCUUUGGUUUGAAGUACGGUGCCGUCCACUCUCAGGGUGAACACUGCUCUCACCAUGACCGUGCUCCGCGGAGCGCGAGUGCACCCGGCGCAGCCUGCGCAUCGAAGCUGCGCAGGCGCACUGAUUGGCUUGGCGUCGUCUGCUACAGCGCUUGAGCGCUCCGCUUUUGCUUUGCUGUUGUAGAAGAGAAAAAGGCGCACUCGUGUGCGCCGCUUCGCUUCGAUGCGCGUCCUCACCGGAUGCACUGGCGCCCCGCGAAGCGCUGCAACCCUGAGCCUUGUUCACCGUAAGAGUGGACGUCCCUGUACAUAUUGAUUGGUGAUAUUCAACCUGUCCACAUUACGUAGAAUGUAGUCAACGCCCUGUUUAAAAAAGUUUCGUGUGUGCCGCAGUAAUGACGCAGUUUUACUUGAUUACAUACCACGUCCUUUGAAAGAGAAAAUUUGAAAUCGGUUGGCUCACGUUCCUGAAUAAACCACCUUUAAUUCAGCUUA
rnacentral:lncRNA from 1 species